rnacentral:rRNA from 1 species
AUGCGUGCGAUGUUGGCCAGGUCGCCGGCCUUCUUCCAACCCUGCCAUCUCUCCACUUCUCCAAGUGUCACCUUCUCCAAGAAGAAACAUGGAACAAGAUUAACUGUCCAGCCAAACACUCCGCAUGGAAACACUAAAGGUGCAAGUGGGAUUCAAGGAAAAUGGCGUACACUGUCGUCUGACCCAGCUCAAGCCGCCGCUGUCGUGGACGCCGGUGACAGCAAGACAUGGGAAGAGUGCAAGCAGAUACUCACCUCACUGAAUUUCUCCACCCAAGACGCCGAGAAGAUGCUGAAGAAGGCGUUCGGGUGGCUCCAUUCGCCGUACUGGACCGAGGAGAGAAAGAAGGAGGUUCCGAGCGCCGAGGUGGUAAGCGGAGUGCUGGACUACGUCAGGGGCCUGGGGCUCUCUGAUGACGACCUUUACAAGCUGCUCAAGAAAUUCCCAGAGGUUCUUGGGUGCGAUCUUGAGAGCGAGGUGAAGCUGAAUGUCGGCAAGCUGGACAGCGAUUGGGGGAUAAACGGGAAGACUCUCCGGAGUGUUCUUUUGCGGAAUCCCAAGGUUUUGGGCUACAAUGUGGAUUGCCGAGGGGACUGCGCCGCGCAGUGCACCCGCUGCUGGGUUAGGUUUUAG